AUCAAUAAAUCGUUGGAUUUGAAAUCGAACUCUCUACCUUGGGCGGAUAGGAAUUGAGACUUUCAAUGGUCCGCUCUUCUCUCCUCGUGAUCGAAGCUGACCCCAGAAGUUGGGUAUUCCUUCUUAAGAGGACACUAACCCUCCCGAUCUUGCUAGCCGGGGGCUCAGUCUUUCAAGAUUCAAUCUUUCCCCUUCCGGUCCCAGGGAAUCGCUCUUAUAGUAGGAGGUUUACUAUUCCGCUCUUCUCUUCUCGUGAUCGAAGUUGACCCCAUAAGUUGGGUAUUCCUUCUUAAUAGGACACUAACCCUCCUGAUCUUGCUAGCCGGGGGCUCAGUCUUUCAAGAUUCAAUCUUUCCCUUCCGGUCCCAGGGAAUCGCUCUUAUAUUAGGAGGUUUACUAUGUCCCCAACUUCUCUUUAUUAAGAAAGUCGGUUGUCUACUAUAAUUAGAUUAAGAUCGUAAAAACAUAAGCUUGUAAUAUAGCUAGACCAAAUUCA
rnacentral:lncRNA from 1 species